rnacentral:rRNA from 1 species
CGUGUAGGCGGGAGAGAAAGUCGGGCGUGAAAUCCCUGGGCUCAACCCAGGAACUGCACUCGAAACUUCUUUUCUUGAGUGCCGGAGAGGAAAGCGGAAUACCUGGUGUAGAGGUGAAAUUCGUAGAUAUCAGGUGGAACACCAGUGGCGAAGGCGGCUUUCUGGACGGUAACUGACGCUGAGACGCGAAAGCGUGGGGGAGAAC